AUUGAACGCUGGCGGCAUGCCUUACACAUGCAAGUCGAACGGCAGCACGGGAGCAAUCCUGGUGGCGAGUGGCGAACGGGUGAGUAAUAUAUCGGAACGUGCCCAGUCGUGGGGGAUAACGUAGCGAAAGCUACGCUAAUACCGCAUACGAUCUAUGGAUGAAAGCGGGGGAUCGCAAGACCUCGCGCGAUUGGAGCGGCCGAUAUCAGAUUAGGUAGUUGGUGGGGUAACGGCUCACCAAGCCGACGAUCUGUAGCUGGUCUGAGAGGACGACCAGCCACACUGGGACUGAGACACGGCCCAGACUCCUACGGGGGGCAGCAGUGGGGAAUUUUGGACAAUGGGCGCAAGCCUGAUCCAGCAAUGCCGCGUGCAGGAUGAGGGCCUUCGGGUUGUAAACUGCUUUUGUACGGAACGAAACGGCGAGCUCUAAUACAGUUCGCUAAUGACGGUACCGUAAGAAUAAGCACCGGCUAACUACGUGCCAGCCGCCGCCGUAA
rnacentral:rRNA from 1 species